UACGUAGGUGGCAAGCGUUGUCCGGAUUUACUGGGCGUAAAGAGCGCGCAGGCGGUCGGAUAAGUCGAAUGUGAAAGCCCCCGGCUUAACUGGGGAGGGUCAUUCGAUACUGUUCGACUGGAAGGCAGGAGAGGGAAGCGGAAUUCCCGGUGUAGUGGUGAAAUGCGUAGAUAUCGGGAGGAACACCAGUGGCGAAGGCGGCUUCCUGGCCUGUUCUUGACGCUGAGGCGCGAAAGCUAGGGGAGCAAACGGGG
rnacentral:rRNA from 1 species